GAUGAACGCUGGCGGCGUGCCUAAUACAUGCAAGUCGAGCGAACGGACGAGAAGCUUGCUUCUCUGAUGUUAGCGGCGGACGGGUGAGUAACACGUGGAUAACCUACCUAUAAGACUGGGAUAACUUCGGGAAACCGGAGCUAAUACCGGAUGAUAUUUUGAACCGCAUGGUUCAAAAGUGAAAGACGGUCUUGCUGUCACUUAUAGAUGGAUCCGCGCUGCAUUAGCUAGUUGGUAAGGUAACGGCUUACCAAGGCAACGAUGCAUAGCCGACCUGAGAGGGUGAUCGGCCACACUGGAACUGGGACACGGUCCAGACUCCUACGGGAGGCAGCAGUAGGGAAUCUUCCGCAAUGGGCGAAAGCCUGACGGAGCAACGCCGCGUGAGUGAUGAAGGUCUUCGGAUCGUAAAACUCUGUUAUUAGGGAAGAACAUAUGUGUAAGUAACUGUGCACAUCUUGACGGCACCUAAUCAGAAAGCCACGGCUAACUACGUG
rnacentral:rRNA from 1 species